rnacentral:piRNA from 2 species
UGCCAGGAUCUUCUCAAGGAGUCCUGACCC